UUCUGAGUAUUUUCCAGUCACGUUUUAUUUCAUUUUUGAAAAAAAAGAGAAAAGAAAAGUUUGGUCUAUAUAUCAUUUUUCAUAUCAUGUCAUUUUCAGCAUUUAAAAAUACUCUUUACUACGACAUUUCCAACAUCGAACGCUGUAUUCUGAAUGACUUUAAUUCAUGCAAUAACACACUCUUGCACAGUAUGAUAUGAACAGCUCACACAUAUGCACACAUCCACACACAACCACACACACACACUCAUACACACACACAUAAUAAAAACAAUAGAGUAAACUCUUAUGUUCUUGUUCUACUUUGUGAGGAAUUUUUUUUGUGUAUCUAUUACAAAAAUCACCAAAACAACACAAAACAAUGCAAUGAAAAGCACAAUAAGAUAAUAAUAAAAUGAAUGAAAAAAUACCAGAUGUUUAUAUUAAAAAGCACUUUGUGAGCUCAUAAAUAGGGCGGCGUGAGUAUACAGUGAAAAAAAACAUAUUUAUAAGGUAGAAAGCAAUGUAGUGGCUAAUAGUGGAGGUGGUGAGAAUGGGGGAAAAAAAGAAAAAUACUCUUUUGUCUUUCACACAUGGAUACAAUACAUAUGGUUUCAAACAAGAAAUGUAGCAAAGCACAAAAAUGCUAAAAAUGUGUUCUUUGUUAAUUUGUUCAGGUGUUACUCAUAACAGAUUCUUUACAUAUAUAAGCAAACAUUUGGUAAAGUAUACAACAGACUCGUCACUGUGUGAAACAGACUGAUGUCUUCAUGCUCUGAGACACUCCAAGGUCUUGAAAUAAAUGUAUACUCUAUAUAAAUGAAUACAGACAAAAUAUUCCAAAUUAUCGUUGACAAAUAGCUCUGUAGUAAUGAUUUACACUAUUAAUACUCAGCUCAUUAGACUUAUAAGUAAUGAAUAACAUUCAUUUUUUUCAAGGUUAGGUGUUUUGUCUGUAUUUAUUCAUGUUUUUUUAAUUUAUUUUUAAAUAAUUUAUUUAAUAAUGUCUUCUAGUUUUCAUAUGGAUCAGCUGCUGGACAUUUAUGUGGUCAGAAAAAUAAUACAAACUAUGGAAUAAUAGAUCUUGGAAAAAUGAAUGAAUGAGUGUAAAUAUAAUACCAAAACACUGCCGCUGGUUUCCAGGUUUACCUGAAAACAAAUACUCUUAAAUAAGCUUUCCAUUUCAAAAUUCAGAUAUUAUCUAUUCAGAUAGAUGCAGUACAUCUGUUAAACCCCACAAAACAAACCCAGAUACAGACCCUUUUUCACAACCGGUUGAAAAAGUGAGGACAGACCAAAAGGGCUUCACCUUCCAAAAUGUCCUUACUGUAGUGGUCUACAAUACCAUCUGGUCCUCACUAUGAUAGCUGGACUAGAACACGCACACACACACACACACACACGCACACACACACACACACUGCAAAUCAUAUAAUUACACUUGAUUGAAUGAGUUAAAUACUUUUAACUGCUGUUGUCACAAUGUAACUACUUUUAAGUGUUAGAUUUUUUCCACAUGCUUCCAUUUUCAUCUUCUGAAUUUUUGCAUGUGAAUUGAUGAUGAAAUAUUGUGUGCAAGAGUGUGUGUGCCUGUAGUCAUCAGUCAGUCAAGAGAUGUGGAGUCUGUGACCUCAGUGUAUGACAGGCAUUCCCAAACUCCACUCACAUACGCACACGUAUAUUCAUUUUUAAAGAAAGGUGCCAGCUUUCCAGUCUCGACAGACAGCCAGAUCGAUUAUAUAUAUAAUCUUAUUUGACAGGUACAGACACAAAGACACCUGAUGGGGGUAGAGUACCGGCCACAAUUUACCUGCCUCCCUAUCUCCAUUUCAGACGCACAUGCAGGCAUGUACACAAGGGAGAAAAUCCAAUUUCCAGGCAUUUUUACUGUGGGUCAGGUUGGCAUUCAAAUUCAUUAAUCUAGCAUAUGGGAGUCAGCUAGGGACACAUGGGGCGAGCCCUUGUAAGGAGAUUACAACCCACACAGAUGCACCAGCACACAAAAAGACACAGACAGACAUAGUACAAUGGAUACACAUGCAAACGACGGGAGGCAAAACACACAUGUUGAGUAACAUAUGUGUGACAGGGGCAUUGUGUUGACAUUGUUUAGGUCCAUUUGUGAGUGGAAGGGUCACUGCAAAGCAAUUGUGCCCACUUUUGUCCUAGAAUGAAAUCCUGGUGGGCGUGGUCUCAGCAACGUU
ensembl:lncRNA